rnacentral:rRNA from 1 species
UUCGAUUAAGCCAUGCGAGUCGCGAGUCUUAGGGACUCGGCGUACCGCUCAGUAACACGUGGGUAACCUGCCCUAUGCUGGGGAAUAACCUCGGGAAACUGAGAAUAAUGCCCCAUAGUUCACCACGCCUGGAACGGUGGGUGGAUCAAAGCUCCGGCGGCAUAGGAUGGGCCUGCGGCGUAUCAGGUCGUAGGGGGUGUAAUGUACCCUCUAGCCAUCGACGCGUACGGGUGUUGGGAGACAUUGCCCGGAGAUGGAUUCUGAGACACGAAUCCAGACCCUACGGGGUGCAGCAGGCGCGAAAACUUGGCAAUGCGAGAAAUCGUGACCAGGGAACUCCAAGUGCAUCGGGUAAGACCGAUGCUUUUCUUGACUCUUCAACGGUCUUGGAAUAAGGGGUGGGUAAGGACGGUGCCAGCCGCCGCGGUAAUACCGGCGCCUCAAGUGGUAGUCGCUUUUAUUGGGCCUAAAACGUCCGUAGCCGGUUUGGUACAUUCGUGGGUAAAUCAAGGCGCUCAACGUCUUGAAUUCUGCGAGCACGGCCAGACUUGGGACCGGGUGAGGUGUGGGGUACUCUCAGGGUAGGGGUAAAAUCCUGUCAUCCUGAGAGGACCACCUGUUGCGAAGGCGCCACACUAGAACGGAUCCGACGGUCAGGGACGAAGCCUAGGGGCACGAACCGGAUUAGAUACCCGGGUAGUCCUAGGUGUAAACGCUGUGGACUUGAUGUUGGGAGUGCUCCGAGCACCCUCAGUGUCGAAGCGAAGGUGAUAAGUCCACUGCCUGGGGAGUACGGUCGCAAGGCUGAAACUUAAAGGAAUUGGCGGGGGAGCACUGCAACCUGAGGAUUGUGCG